rnacentral:rRNA from 1 species
AUACGGGGGGGGCGAGCGUUGUCCGGAAUUAUUGGGCGUAAAGGGCGCGUAGGCGGGAUGGUAAGUCAGAGGUGAAAAUCCGGAGCUUAACUCCGUGACCUGCCUUUGAUACUGCCGUUCUUGAGUGCGAGAGAGGAAAGCGGAAUUCCCGGUGUAGCGGUGAAAUGCGUAGAUAUCGGGAAGAACACCGGUAGCGAAGGCGGCUUUCUGGCUCGCAACUGACGCUGAGGCGCGAAAGCGUGGGGAGCAAACAGGAUUAGAUACCCCUGUAGUCC